GACGAACGCUGGCGGCGUGCUUAACACAUGCAAGUCGAACGGAAAGGCCCUGCUUUUGUGGGCUUCUCGAGUGCCGAACGGGUGAGUAACACGUGAGUAACCUGCCCUUGACUUUGGGAUAACUUCAGGAAACUGGGGCUAAUACCGGAUAGGAGCUCCUGCUGCAUGGUGGGGGUUGGAAAGUUUCGGCGGUUGGGGAUGGACUCGCGGCUUAUCAGCUUGUUGGUGGGGUAGUGGCUUACCAAGGCUUUGGCGGGUAGCCGGCCUGAGAGGGUGACCGGGCACAUUGGGACUGAGAUAGGGCCCAGAAUCGUACGGGAGGCAGCAGGGGGGAAUAUUGCACAAUGGGCGGGAGCCUGAGGCAGCAACGCUGCGUGCGGGAUGACGGCCUUCGGGUGGUAAACCGCUUUCGCCUGUGACGAAGCGUGAGUGACGGUAAUGGGUAAAGAAGCACCGGCUAACUACGUG
rnacentral:rRNA from 1 species